AUUCCAGCUCCAGUAGCGUAUAUUAAAGUUGUUGCAGUUAAAAAGCUCGUAGUUGGAUUUCUGGUACGGCGCGUUUGGCCGACACCCGUUAGGGUGUUCUGUGCCGUGCGCGCCUGCCAUCUUUCUAGAAAACCUCUCUACCCUUCACUGGGCCGGAUUGGCAGAUCUAGAACUUUUACUUUGAAAAAAUUAGAGUGUUUAAAGCAGGCUUGUGCUAUGAAUACAUUAGCAUGGAAUAAUAAUUUAGGACUUUGGUCCUAUUUUGUUGGUUUCUAGGACCGAAGUAAUGAUUGAUAGGGAUAGUUGGGGGUGCUAGUAUUCAGCGGCCAGAGGUGAAAUUCUUGGAUUCGCUGAAGACUAACUUAUGCGAAAGCAUUCACCAAGGAUGUCUUCAUUA
rnacentral:rRNA from 1 species